CAAAGGGUGCGAAGCCAAACCUUAGUCCUCAGUAAAGAAUUAAACGCGAUUCCGCGAGGUGCCCCCUUUAGAAAUUACAUUGCGGGACACUGUAGUGUAUAUAUAUGUAUAUUGUACAGAUUCUAUUUUUGUACUGUUGAAAACGGAAUAAAUGACUUUUUUACGACAAAUUCGAUUGACUGAAAGUGACAAUACGGUCCCGACUGUUCGCGAAGAAACGAAAAACAGAUCGAUAUAGUAGAAAGUUAAAUUUUUUUUGUACACGGAUUAGGUAGGUUCAACAGAAUCCAACAUUACCGAUGGGUAGAACAGAUAUGUCAAAAACGCUGAACGCUUAUAGAAUCAAAAAAAUAGAAAAUAUUGGUAGAAUGACGGCCAUGACGCAGGAAGAAAUUAUGGCUGGUGCCAGAAUUGUGGCCCAGGGUCUGGAAGCUCUCCGUGUAGAACAUGGAGGACUUCUUCAAGCCUUGCAGACCCAAGAUGCGCCAGUCGCAAGAGACAAAGCUAGUUUAUUAUCAAAGAAUAUCGAGAUGAUAGAAUUAGGCCUUGGAGAGGCACAAGUUAUGAUGGCUCUUGCAAAUCACUUACAAAUGGUAGAGGCUGAGAAACAAAAGCUUAGAACACAAGUAAGAAGGUUGUGCCAAGAAAAUGCCUGGUUAAGAGAUGAAUUGGCUGGUACACAGCAAAAAUUGCAAGCCAGUGAACAAGCACUAGUCCAGUUGGAAGAACAAAAGAAACAUUUAGAUUUUAUGGAAAGCAUGAAACAGUACGAUCCUGAUCCUUCCGCGGAUGAUGAAAAUGCUAAAGACAGACCGCCAGAUGAUCCUGUGGUUGAUCUAUUCCCCGAUGAUGAUGCGGACGACCGAAAUAGUAAGUCAAUAUCACCGACACCGCCUUCACAAUUUGCACAACAAGUGAAUGCUGGAUACGAGAUACCUGCACGUUUGCGUACGCUGCACAAUUUGGUUAUACAGUACGCGAGCCAAGGCCGCUAUGAAGUAGCUGUUCCCUUAUGCAAGCAAGCAUUGGAGGAUUUGGAAAAAACUUCUGGUCAUGAUCAUCCUGAUGUUGCCACAAUGUUGAACAUUCUUGCUUUAGUAUAUAGAGAUCAAAAUAAAUAUAAAGAAGCGGCGAAUUUGUUGAACGAUGCCUUGGCUAUUCGUGAAAAAACGCUCGGUGAAAAUCAUCCUGCAGUCGCUGCUACGUUGAAUAACUUGGCUGUUUUAUAUGGGAAACGGGGCAAAUAUAAAGAGGCUGAGCCAUUGUGCAAACGUGCUCUCGAUAUUCGAGAGAAGGUUCUCGGUCGUGAUCAUCCUGAUGUCGCGAAGCAAUUGAAUAAUCUUGCGUUGCUGUGUCAGAAUCAGGGUAAAUACGAAGAGGUAGAACGCUAUUACUUGCGAGCGCUAGAAAUUUAUGAAGGUAAACUGGGACCGGAUGAUCCUAAUGUUGCAAAGACGAAAAAUAAUCUGGCAUCGUGUUACUUGAAGCAAGGAAAAUACAAAGAUGCUGAAGUUUUGUAUAAACAAGUAUUGACUAGAGCACACGAAAAAGAAUUUGGUGCUAUUGCCGGUGAUAACAAACCAAUUUGGCAGGUUGCGGAAGAAAGAGAAGAAAAUAAGCAUAGAAAUAAAGAGAAUACUCCGUAUGGAGAAUACGGAGGUUGGCAUAAAGCUGCUAAAGUGGAUUCUCCUACAGUCACAACUACCCUAAAAAAUCUUGGUGCAUUAUAUCGAAGACAAGGAAAAUACGAGGCUGCAGAAACAUUAGAAGAUUGUGCUCUUAGGUCACGAAAAGAGACAUUGGAGUUCGUGAAGCAAGGAAAAGUUGCGCAGCUUUUAGGAGAAGAGAAGGGAUCGACGAGACGCGGCUCGCGAUCCAGUUUAGCCAAUAGCGAACACGAGCAACACGACGAGGACCGGAAGUAUUAUGUUCGUGCACAGUAAGGGAUACUACGUAAGAGAGCUAUACGCGAAACGAUACCACAGGCAGGAUAACACAAGGGCUCUGCAUUGUUUAGUUGAAACAUUGUUCGAUGUCCAUUUUAUCCGAAUCGUUUUACGUAUAACAGCACAUUCCAGCUGCUUUUCUCGAUUAAUAAGACGCAUCGUAUAAAGAAACAACUACUUCAUGUUGCUGACGUUUUCAAUACGGUGACGAUUUAAGAUAUGCUAGCGACUGACUGUUUUUGAAAUAGCAAGCAAGGAAAAGAGACACAGAGUAUAAGGCGAAUUGCUUCGAGAAUGUAUCUGAAUCAAAAAUCCUAUUCAAGCCAAUCGUUUUUUUUUCCUUUUUUUUUUUUUUUGCGUUUCUAGACUUUUCAACAGAAGAGCAGAGGAUAUUCAUCGCUGCAAACGAUUAUAUUGACCUAAAAGAAAAAAAAAAACCGUCAUGUAUUCGAUUCUUUCUUCGCAUUGUAUAGUACAUAUGCUAUGAAUCCAUAUUUGCAUCUACAUGCAUCUAAUCAGGUCGUCAUAUACAUAUCCUUUUCGUUGGGUCGUUAUACCCAUUAUGAUUGGAGUAACGUGACAAUGUGUAAUCAUUCCACGAGUUCUAGCUUCUCUUUAUCAAAGUUCGAUAAGAAUCGGAUGAAAAAAAGGAUUCACAUUUAAACAUAGAAGGAACAUUUGUAUGUCGCUUAGCAUUAUUGAAUGUAUUUCCUACACAUCAUACACAGAGAGACACACAUUACACCGUGCACAUUAGAAUAAUGCGAGUAUAUUCAUCGUCAUAUUAAAAAGAGUGUAAAACAAGCUAGAAGGGGGAGAAACUGCGCUUUCCCUUUCAUUUUUGUCUCUCGGAAUUUAUUUAUGCGGAGAAUAACGUAUAAACAAUAUUGGAAAAGAUUUAUCUUUCCGGCCACGUCGAUUUCUCUGCCCUAUUUAUAAUUGUACAUUUAAGUACUUAUAUAUUAACGUAUUCGCAAAUAUUUAAUUUAUUCUCUCUGCGUUCGAUUCGUUGUUUAAACGACGAUACAGCAGUAUAUACUGAUGAUCAGUGCAAGCAUGAUGAUUAUUAUACAUAUAUUGUAUUAUAAGAUCGUAAUUAUUAUUUAAAUUAUUUUGAAGAGAAAGAAAGAAAAAUUUCAUUCUUUUCUUUUUCUCUGUAGCCUGUUUUAUUAAAGCGCGCAAAACGAGAAUUCGUCUUUUGACAAAUUUGUAUAUUCCGCUUUAAACAUCGUAUGCAUUCAAAAGCCAAGAAUCAUAUUGUAACCGGCUGUGAAUUAAAAACUGAGUCUGAAAUUAUUUGAUCGUUUGAACAGUUACGACGACGCAGAAUGAUGAUCGUUUGAAUUAGUCGAGUCCUUGGUACAUUUUAUCCUUGUUCAAGUUAAAGAUCUCACGUUUUUGUUUCGAACAUAAUAUUGUUAUACUGUCUGAUACAUUCAGUUACCAUGGUGAUAUUAUUUGCUCUAACCACUCGUUGAAUACAAGCAUGGAAUACCACUGUUGCAAUAACAAUUAAUAAUUAAUUAAUGUUGUAAUUAUAAUUGCUUCCAUGGUACAAUUGUCGAUGGAAAGUAAUUAUAAUUGUGUUUAGAAAUAUUAUGACAGAAAGUAGCGAGAGUAAUCUUUUACUUCCAUUAUUGCUUGAUAACAACGAAUGAAAUAAUCUUGCAGAAUUCUGACCGAUUAUUAUAUAAUACUUGUUGUAUUAGAAUAACGAACAAACAAAAUGAAGAAGAAAAAAAAAAAACUUUUUACAAUGGCUGCUGCUUGCUUGUUCAAUAUUCUUAAACUAAAUAUAAUAAUAACUAAACUAAAUAUUCACAUGUAUAUGUUGAAUAAUUAGGAAAAAAAGAAAAAAAAAAAAAAUCUUUUGAAAUAGAAAAAAAAAAAAAAUUCGCUUAAGCGAGCAAAAAUAUAUGUAACGUGAGUUCUAUUGGACUGGCCUAGUUCAAAAGAUUUAAGAUUGCACCUCGAAAUACCGGUGUAUAUUAAUCAUUUACAGUCGUAGCGAUGAUGAUGAUUCGUUUUCGAUUUACGUGCAAUUCCCGAUCGCGAGGCUAGGUUUCACUUUUUAUUACGGAGACUUACGGAUACAAUCUCGGUAUUUAGUUUUGCGUCCAUCUAUGAUGAUUCUUAGUCGUUUUUUAAGUAAUCAUUUUUCCCCUCUAGCGUUAAUUUUCUUCAUUUUCAUAGUACAUGUUUUUAUUUGAUUUUCAUGUGUGCUCUCAUUAUCCUGAAAAAA